rnacentral:rRNA from 1 species
CCUACGGGUGGCAGCAGUCGAGAGGCUUCGGCAAUGGGGGAAACCCUGACCGAGCGACGCCGCGUGGAGGAUGAAGGCCCUUGGGUUGUAAACUCCUUUUGUCAGGGAAGAAGUGCGAUCAGGUGAACAAUCUGGUCGUUUGACGGUACCUGACGAAUAAGCUCCGGCUAACUCCGUGCCAGCAGCCGCGGUAAUACGGGGGGAGCAAGCGUUGUUCGGAAUCACUGGGCGUAAAGGGCGUGUAGGCGGUCAGGUAAGUGAGACGUGAAAUGCCUCGGCUCACCCGAGGAGCUGCGUCUCAAACUGCUUGGCUUGAGUAUGGGAGAGGAUGUGGGAAUUCCUGGUGUAGCGGUGAAAUGCGUAGAUAUCAGGAGGAACACCGGUGGCGAAGGCGCACAUCUGGCCCAAUACUGACGCUGAUGCGCGAAAGCUAGGGGAGCAAACGGGAUUAGAUACCCUAGUAGUC